CCUGCUCUGAUGCUUGGUGGGACUGGGGGUGGGUCUGGGGCACUAGAGUCUUUGAAGGUGGUCCAGUCCAGCUCUUUGAGUCUGGGGAAGUUUGCGAUGAUCUCUUGCUUAUGCAGGAGGGCCACAAAACCAUGGCAGUACUGCUCUCCUCUCUCUCUCAGCAUGUCCAGUAGCUUGAUGACUGUAGUCUCUGGAGGCUGACUGGAUUGCAGGUGGGAGAGGAUGUUGUAUCCACGCUGCUCCACUAGUUUCUUUGAAUGGGCGUACUGGAGAAUAUUGUCGGGUUCCGCUGACAGAAUCUCUGUUAGGAGCGGCUUAUUCUCCAGCAGAAACUCCUUCGCCAUUCCUCUCUGGGGUGGUUGGCUGUUGUUGGCCUAAGUUGCUUUCCUCCUGGAGACUCAAGUUAAGGCUGUGUUCAGCAGGACACAACGGCGUGCAACUUUUGAUUGCACGCCGCAGCAGAAACUGUGCUGUUCUCAACGGCCGGGCAACACACCGCCACAACCACCAAACAGAAGCAAAGACCCCUCAAAGAACAGUUGGGGAGAAGCGUGUCGUUCAGGCACGUAGUAAAACGUUUAAUGAACUGAACACAGCCCUGCUUCAUUGGCUGGCAGAAUCUACUUCCUAUUAGCCAGAGAGGUAUGGCUUGUUGUCAUGGGAGGGUCUAUGGGUGCUGGCCAGGUGGUCAGGUGAAAUCAAACUAGCACCUGGAGAACGAGAUGGAACAACAGGUUAAUUACUGUGUCAAGUCAAAAUAUACAGUGAGUGACAGCUGUGUUUAAGAGUGGUAUCAGGCAAAAGACUAUGAUGCAUGGUUAGUACACUACUACUGGGUUAUAAGCUAGGAUAUUAGCCUACAUGAUAUUGAUAUGAUUAUAUUGAUCUCUUGUCUUGCCUCUUUAAGGUAUCAAAAGGUCAAAGUAAUAUCGCUCACUGGAAAGCCACCUUGACAUACAAGGCGUUGUAAUUAACAAAGGUAGCUGAAGUAGUCGGGUAUGCCUUCCCCAAUCUAUAAUUAAUACACGGUU
ensembl:lncRNA